UUUUAGUCCUAGCUCACAGAAUGCUGUGAGAAUUUCUCACUGAAAUGCCUUGGCUUUGUUCCUAAGGAUAUUACCCACUUCUUCAUGCUGUUAAUCAUUUAAACCAGGUAGAGCAACGUGGAGCCUGGCAGUCAGGUGAAGUGUUUGCAGAACUGCUACCCUAAUCAUUACCUUGGUCUGUCUUUGGCAUCUUGUUCUUAAAAGCUGAUGAUGUCUGUCACAGCUUUAAGAAUUAUUUUUUUCUUCCUUAGCUCAGGGGCAUUAAUAACAAGUGAACUGUAGAACUGACAAGUGUCAUAACAGGAAUAUCACAGCACUGGAGAAGUGCUCUAAACCUGCAGCUAAGGGGAAAGUGCUGCAGGAGCACUGAUGACAAGUCAGCUACUGCCCUGGCCCCAUUUGUGCAUCUCUGGACCGCAAAUUUGGAUGAGAUGCUGAGACUUCCAGCAGAAUGGAAAGUGUAACAUGCUGUUUCCUGACUGGAUUAGAAGUUCUGGCAAAGAUUUCAAAGCAGUGUGGGGCUGGAGUUGAACUUGAGCAGGAGGUUGUGCCUGUCAGUGCUGCCUCCUCAGGCCCAGAGUCUCCUGCAGUCCGGAAAUGUGCUUGGGGAAGGGCCUGGACAGAGGGACACAGAACCUCUGUGUGAGAGGGAAGAUGUUGUGUCCCUUGCUUGGGGUGUUUGUCAGGCAUUCAGGGAAUCAGGCUGGAGUUCUUCAGGGAGCCCUUUAUCCUCCCUGGGUUGUGGCUUCUCCUGUACAAAGGGGAUCAGAGCCCUGUGAGGGCUAUGUAUUUAUGACUGGGCAAACCCUGAUCGUGUUUCCAAAUAUUUUAGGGACACAGUGACAUCUUGUGGCAUUUAGCUGUGACUGUAGCAACACGGAGCUCGUGGACUCUGCUGACAUGAGCCUUCCCAGAGAUAAGGAGGAAUACAGACCAUGGAGAAAUACACUUUGAUGCUGCCCCCAGCUGUAAAACAAGGCAGUUUCUUCCUCAUUUAGGCAUUAAACUUCUGGCAUAGCCUUUGGAUGUAGGGGAACAGCCAUUGGAGUGGAGAGAGCACUUUGAAUUGCAGAUGGAGCCCAGCUCUCUGUUUGAGGUUUGCUCCAACUAGCAUUUCCAAGUGCCUGCUGAUUUCUACAAUUCCAGCCCAAUUUCCAGGGUUGCUCCAGAGGUGCUGUUGAGCUCUUGGCUUCCUGUAGAUGGUGCUGAGGUAUUUCAGGCAAGACCCUACACGUCCCUGAGCAGGUUGGUUUGUGCAAAACCACAAGUAGAGGAAUAUUUUUGUCAUUCAAAGUGUUCCUUAGUUUUGAAUGAUAUGCCUGUGUUCCAUAAGGCAGGAUCAGUACCCAGGACAUCUUGACUAGAAAUGGAGUGAUAUUGCACUCAGACAGCUCAGAGGCUUUCAGCAUCUACUUCCUGGGAGAUUUUGUCUCUAAUGGAGAGAACUAGAAUGUUUCCUUUGGAUUAAUUCAGAAAGUUGAGAGUCUUCAUUCAUCUUGUCCUGAAGCUGAAGCAUCGGUGUGGAACAGAAAGCAAUGGGUUUUAGGCCCAAGAAAGUUUUCAGGACUUCCAGUGCUGAAAAACUUACUGCUGUUACAAUAUGUGUCUCUUUUAAGAAGCUUUCACAUAGUUUUAUCUGCAGCUGCAGAUAAUAUGUGAGCUUGAUACUUACUAACUGCCUGUCUGGUUCUAGCAAACCUCUCUUAGCUUUGCAUUGGAAUAAAAGUGAAAGUAUGGAGAGGUUUUGGGGGAGGUUUGGAUUGUUUGUUUCUUCUUUUUAAUACAGAAGAGUCUAAUUAUUUUUUAGCCUAGUGGGACUUGAAAUUAGUGGUAGACUUAGCCCAUCUCAGCAGUUUAGGGAAUAAUUCUAUGAGACUUAAUGAAUUAUUAGAUGUGAUUUCUGUGGCUGUGCUAUAAAAUACAAUCCACCUACAUUUAUUUAUCAAAGUAUAGCCCUUUGUCCUUUAUAAGGAAAUGUGAAAUCAUUUCAAAGCUCUGAGUAGUCGCAACCUGUAGGAAAAACAAACUGCAAAGCUACAAGCCCACCUCCACCACACUGGAAAACAUGGGGUUAAUUUCUGAUAUAAACAGGACUGACGUGAUAUGAAGUGUGUAUAUGUAAAAGUUCAUAACUCUUUUAUAAAUGUGAAGUGGGAUUUCUUUGUUUUGCCAAUAAUUAUGGAAAAGGCUGCAGUUCUGGGAGAUACUGCCAAACGUUCAGGCUCUCAUUUUGGGGCAGUAGCUCACAGUUGAGGACACAGCAGAACAGAGCAAAAGAGCAGUGAUAGUCCCUAAAAUAUUCCCCAGCUUCCUGCAGCUCUGGAGGGGUUUCUGUACAUUCAGCAGCUUUCAGCUGAUCUCACUUCCCGGAAUUAGCCCACAAUCCUGUGAGCCAGAGUAAAUAUUUAACAACCACAGCAUCCUCUGAUAAAGAGGUCCAUGGCUUAACUACUUUCUGUGUUUCUUUCUAUUUCUUCUGAACUUUGCUCCUUUUUGUAUCAUGAGAUGUCUCAUGGGCCUUAUGAUGGAGAGACAUUAAACAGCUUUUUCCUGCUUGCCUCUCCCUGUCUCAGUUUUAAACUCUGUUAUCUGAUCAUCCUGAUCCUUGCCCAUGUAUCCCUCAAAUCGCUCACCAGGUGUUAUCAAACCAGAGAGUAAAAAAAAAAAGAGUGUUGAAACUUAAGUUUUUAUGGAAUAAAAUGUCUUGGAGGCUUUAAUAUCCUAUUGCCUGAAUCUUUGUGUCUGUAUUGGGGACAUUAUUUAACCCUGCUGUCUGGCUAAGGGCAGUUGCAAGUGUUGCUGCUGGAGGGUGUAGCUUGUUCCUUGUCAAAUUACAAGCACUUAAAUUAUUUUCCUUCCAAGGAGGGGCAGGUGAAAGAGGAAUUGUGUGCAUAAAGCUGUAAUGAAGGCUGGAAAUUGUACAGCUGAAUGCAAAUGCAGAAGAAUGAAAUUAAGAUCCAGAUCAGAACUGAAAAUCUGGUUUUCUUGUUGUCUUUAAUUCUAGGCUCUUGUUGUAGUGCACUGUAGACAAAAUUAUGCUGUGGAGAGUGUAAUUAUGUAAUUAAAGCUUUUGCCUUAGUGCACUUAGACCACAGAAUGAAAGGAACCAACUGGAUCUUUUUCUGAAUGUUAAACUCUGCAGGAAAAUGUCCCUGCAAGUAUUUUGUGCUUUCAUGUAUCUCUGCUGGUCUUGGGUAACCUGUUUCUACAACCCCACCAGCUUUCAGGUGGUCUCUGAACUUUCUUGUCUCAUUUCUUUAUUGCCAUGUUUCUCCUUGGGAGGAUUUGGCCUGGGAGAUGAUGUGGAUAACCACAGCUUCAGCCCUUUUCCCUGAUGUAUUUUGAGGGAAUCCAGCUUUAUCUGUCAGUUGUUCUGUGGUGGGAUAAGCAGUGUUACUGGAGCUGCAGCAUUUAGUGAACUAAACCAGAGAUGUUUGUGCUUUGCAUGUU